GUCAGCGGCGGCGGCGGCGGCGGCAGGGACUUGCAGUGCGUGAGCUGCAUGGUACCAGAGCACCACUGCCCAGGGUGUGCACCUUGAGACGUUCCAAGGCCCCUGCAGGCUUGAUUUCAGUUCGGAGGUCCACAGCUGCAGGAAAAGAAACCCAGCAAGCACCUGGAUGAGGAGCCUUCAUUGAUGUCCACUUGGCUGACAGACGCCCUCCAGGAAUCAACUGUGGACUACCAACUGCUCCAAAAAUGACUCUGCACUCUGGACUGGAGGAAAGCUGAUGUGAACCAGCCCAGCCGAUGUGCUUGCUCCCUGUCUCUUCAGCUGGGUCAUCUAACUGGAUGUAUCUGAUGCAUGUCCCAUCGCUGGAAUCCCUCCCUGCCUUUGACUAACAUUCCAGCCUUCCUAGGCCCUGGCAACAUCCUUGUUUCAGCAGGAAGUAGUUACAGAAGAGAGCUCGUCGCCCCUUUUCCCCAGCUGGCUGGAAUGUUAGAUCAGAAGGACAUUCACUGGCGUGGGGGACAAAAUGGCUACCUAGACUGCCUAUUGGCAUACUAGGAAAGGUACCUGUUGAACUCAGAGACCCAGAUCUAUCAACAGGUAGAUUCAUUAGCUGAAAUAGUUCUACAGAGUGGCGGGGCAUGGGAUCUGUUUUAUGCAGC
ensembl:lincRNA AU020206 expressed sequence AU020206